GCAGUCGAACGAACUUCCGUUAAUUGAUUAUGACGUACUUGUACUGAUUGAGAUUUUAACACGAAGUGAGUGGCGAACGGGUGAGUAACACGUGGGUAACCUGCCCAGAAGUAGGGGAUAACACCUGGAAACAGAUGCUAAUACCGUAUAACAGAGAAAACCGCAUGGUUUUCUUUUAAAAGAUGGCUCUGCUAUCACUUCUGGAUGGACCCGCGGCGUAUUAGCUAGUUGGUGAGGCAAAGGCUCACCAAGGCAGUGAUACGUAGCCGACCUGAGAGGGUAAUCGGCCACAUUGGGACUGAGACACGGCCCAGACUCCUACGGGAGGCAGCAGUAGGGAAUCUUCCACAAUGGACGCAAGUCUGAUGGAGCAACGCCGCGUGAGUGAAGAAGGGUUUCGGCUCGUAAAGCUCUGUUGUUAAAGAAGAACGUGGGUAAGAGUAACUGUUUACCCAGUGACGGUAUUUAACCAGAAAGCCACGGCUAACUACGUGCCAGCAGCCGCGGUAAUACGUAGGUGGCAAGCGUUAUCCGGAUUUAUUGGGCGUAAAGCGAGCGCAGGCGGUCUUUUAAGUCUAAUGUGAAAGCCUUCGGCUCAACCGAAGAAGUGCAUUGGAAACUGGGAGACUUGAGUGCAGAAGAGGACAGUGGAACUCCAUGUGUAGCGGUGAAAUGCGUAGAUAUAUGGAAGAACACCAGUGGCGAAGGCGGCUGUCUGGUCUGCAACUGACGCUGAGGCUCGAAAGCAUGGGUAGCGAACAGGAUUAGAUACCCUGGUAGUCCAUGCCGUAAACGAUGAUUACUAAGUGUUGGAGGGUUUCCGCCCUUCAGUGCUGCAGCUAACGCAUUAAGUAAUCCGCCUGGGGAGUACGACCGCAAGGUUGAAACUCAAAAGAAUUGACGGGGGCCCGCACAAGCGGUGGAGCAUGUGGUUUAAUUCGAAGCUACGCGAAGAACCUUACCAGGUCUUGACAUCUUCUGACAGUCUAAGAGAUUAGAGGUUCCCUUCGGGGACAGAAUGACAGGUGGUGCAUGGUUGUCGUCAGCUCGUGUCGUGAGAUGUUGGGUUAAGUCCCGCAACGAGCGCAACCCUUAUUACUAGUUGCCAGCAUUAAGUUGGGCACUCUAGUGAGACUGCCGGUGACAAACCGGAGGAAGGUGGGGACGACGUCAAAUCAUCAUGCCCCUUAUGACCUGGGCUACACACGUGCUACAAUGGAUGGUACAACGAGUCGCGAGACCGCGAGGUUAAGCUAAUCUCUUAAAACCAUUCUCAGUUCGGACUGUAGGCUGCAACUCGCCUACACGAAGUCGGAAUCGCUAGUAAUCGCGGAUCAGCAUGCCGCGGUGAAUACGUUCCCGGGCCUUGUACACACCGCCCGUCACACCAUGAGAGUUUGUAACACCCAAAGCCGGUGGGGUAAC
rnacentral:rRNA from 1 species